ensembl:miRNA
UGGAAGACUAGUGAUUUUGUUGUGACGCUGAUCAAAGAACAACAAGUCCCAGUCUGCCUCU